GAUGAACGCUGGCGGCGUGCCUAAUACAUGCAAGUAGAACGCUGAAGGAAGGAGCUUGCUCUUUCCGGAUGAGUUGCGAACGGGUGAGUAACGCGUAGGUAACCUGCCUGGUAGCGGGGGAUAACUAUUGGAAACGAUAGCUAAUACCGCAUAACAGUAGAUAUUGCAUGACAUUUACUUGAAAGGUGCAAAUGCACCACUACCAGAUGGACCUGCGUUGUAUUAGCUAGUUGGUGAGGUAACGGCUCACCAAGGCGACGAUACAUAGCCGACCUGAGAGGGUGAUCGGCCACACUGGGACUGAGACACGGCCCAGACUCCUACGGGAGGCAGCAGUAGGGAAUCUUCGGCAAUGGACGGAAGUCUGACCGAGCAACGCCGCGUGAGUGAAGAAGGUUUUCGGAUCGUAAAGCUCUGUUGUAAGAGAAGAACGAGUGUGAGAGUGGAAAGUUCACACUGUGACGGUAUCUUACCAGAAAGGGACGGCUAACUACGUGC
rnacentral:rRNA from 1 species